UGGGGAAUAUUGCACAAUGGGGGAAACCCUGAUGCAGCGACGCCGCGUGAGGGAAGACGGUUUUCGGAUUGUAAACCUCUGUCUCUGGUGAAGAUAAUGACGGUAACCAGAGAGGAAGCCACGGCUAACUACGUGCCAGCAGCCGCGGUAAUACGUAGGGGGCAAGCGUUGUCCGGAAUUACUGGGCGUAAAGAGCACGUAGGCGGUAACCUAAGUCAGAUGUGAAAGACCAGGGCUUAACUCUGGGGUUGCAUACGAAACUGGGUAACUAGAGUGCAGGAGAGGAAAGUGGAAUUCCGAGUGUAGAGGUGAAAUUCGUAGAUGUUCGGAAGAACACCAGUGGCGAAGGCGACUGACUGGACAGAUAUUGACGCUGAGGUGCGAAAGCGUGGGGAGCAAACA
rnacentral:rRNA from 1 species